UGGGGAAUUUUGGACAAUGGGCGAAAGCCUGAUCCAGCAAUGCCGCGUGUGUGAAGAAGGCCUUCGGGUUGUAAAGCACUUUUGUCCGGAAAGAAAUCCUUGGCUCUAAUACAGUCGGGGGAUGACGGUACCGGAAGAAUAAGCACCGGCUAACUACGUGCCAGCAGCCGCGGUAAUACGUAGGGUGCAAGCGUUAAUCGGAAUUACUGGGCGUAAAGCGUGCGCAGGCGGUUUGCUAAGACCGAUGUGAAAUCCCCGGGCUCAACCUGGGAACUGCAUUGGUGACUGGCAGGCUAGAGUAUGGCAGAGGGGGGUAGAAAUCCACGUGUAGCAGUGAAAUGCGUAGAGAUGUGGAGGAAUACCGAUGGCGAAGGCAGCCCCCUGGGCCAAUACUGACGCUCAUGCACGAAAGCGUGGGGAGCAAACAGGAUUAGAUACCCUGGUAGUCCACGCCCUAAACGAUGUCAACUAGUUGUUGGGGAUUCAUUUCCUUAGUAACGUAGCUAACGCGUGAAGUUGACCGCCUGGGGAGUACGGUCGCAAGAUUAAAACUCAAAUGAAUUGACGGGGUCAUAGCUGUUUCCU
rnacentral:rRNA from 1 species